GUCGAGCGGAGUGNUGGUGCUUGCACUAUCACUUAGCGGCGGACGGGUGAGUAAUGCUUAGGAAUCUGCCAUUUAGUGGGGGACAACAUUCCGAAAGGAAUGCUAAUACCGCAUACGUCCUACGGGAGAAAGCAGGGGAUCUUCGGACCUUGCGCUAAAUGAUGAGCCUAAGUCGGAUUAGCUAGUUGGUGGGGUAAAGGCCUACCAAGGCGACGAUCUGUAGCGGGUCUGAGAGGAUGAUCCGCCACACUGGGACUGAGACACGGCCCAGACUCCUACGGGAGGCAGCAGUGGGGAAUAUUGGACAAUGGGCGAAAGCCUGAUCCAGCCAUGCCGCGUGUGUGAAGAAGGCCUUUUGGUUGUAAAGCACUUUAAGCGAGGAGGAGGCUCUUCUAGUUAAUACCUAGGAUGAGUGGACGUUACUCGCAGAAUAAGCACCGGCUAACUCUGUGCCAGCAGCCGCGGUAAUACAGAGGGUGCGAGCGUUAAUCGGAUUUACUGGGCGUAAAGCGUGCGUAGGCGGCUGAUUAAGUCGGAUGUGAAAUCCCUGAGCUUAACUUAGGAAUUGCAUUCGAUACUGGUCAGCUAGAGUAUGGGAGAGGAUGGUAGAAUUCCAGGUGUAGCGGUGAAAUGCGUAGAGAUCUGGAGGAAUACCGAUGGCGAAGGCAGCCAUCUGGCCUAAUACUGACGCUGAGGUACGAAAGCAUGGGGAGCAAACAGGAUUAGAUACCCUGGUAGUCCAUGCCGUAAACGAUGUCUACUAGCCGUUGGGGCCUUUGAGGCUUUAGUGGCGCAGCUAACGCGAUAAGUAGACCGCCUGGGGAGUACGGUCGCAAGA
rnacentral:rRNA from 1 species